GGUCUCGUAGUGUAGAGGUUAACACGCCUGCCUGUCACGCAGGAGAUCGCGGGUUCGAUUCCCGUCGAGACCGCCA
rnacentral:tRNA from 1 species